rnacentral:rRNA from 1 species
UACGAAGGGGGCUAGCGUUGCUCGGAAUCACUGGGCGUAAAGGGCGCGUAGGCGGGCUCUUAAGUCAGGGGUGAAAGCCCAAGGCUCAACCUUGGAAUUGCCUUUGAUACUGAGGGCCUUGAGACCGGAAGAGGUCGGCGGAACUGCGAGUGUAGAGGUGAAAUUCGUAGAUAUUCGCAAGAACACCAGUGGCGAAGGCGGCCGACUGGUCCGGUUCUGACGCUGAGGCGCG